AACGAACGCUGGCGGCGUGCCUAACACAUGCAAGUCGAACGAGAAAGGGGCUUCGGCUCCGAGUAAAGUGGCGCACGGGUGAGUAACACGUAGGUAACCUGCCUCUAAGAUUGGGGAUAACCUGUCGAAAGACGAGCUAAUACCGAAUAAGACCACGGCUUCCUCGGAAGCAGGGGUCAAAGGUAGCCUCUACUUGUAAGCUAUCACUUAGAGAUGGGCCUGCGUACCAUUAGCUAGNGGUGGGUAACGGCCUACCAAGGCAAAGAUGGUUAGCUGGUCUGAGAGGAUGAUCAGCCACACUGGAACUGAGACACGGGUCCAGACUCCUACGGGAGGCAGCAGUGGGAAUAUUGCGCAAUGGGCGAAAGCCUGACGCAGCAACGCCGCGUGAGUGAUGAA
rnacentral:rRNA from 1 species